rnacentral:rRNA from 1 species
UAGGGAAUCUUCGGCAAUGGACGAAAGUCUGACCGAGCAACGCCGCGUGAGUGAAGAAGGUUUUCGGAUCGUAAAACUCUGUUGUUAGAGAAGAACAAGGACGUUAGUAACUGAACGUCCCCUGACGGUAUCUAACCAGAAAGCCACGGCUAACUACGUGUCAGCAGCCGCGGUAAUACGUAGGUGGCAAGCGUUGUCCGGAUUUAUUGGGCGUAAAGCGAGCGCAGGCGGUUUCUUAAGUCUGAUGUGAAAGCCCCCGGCUCAACCGGGGAGGGUCAUUGGAAACUGGGAGACUUGAGUGCAGAAGAGGAGAGUGGAAUUCCAUGUGUGGCGGUGAAAUGCGUAGAUAUAUGGAGGAACACCAGUGGCGAAGGCGGCUCUCUGGUCUGUAACUGACGCUGAGGCUCGAAAGCGUGGGGAGCAAACAGG